UAGGGAAUCUUCCGCAAUGGACGCAAGUCUGACGGAGCAACGCCGCGUGAGUGAAGAAGGUUUUCGGAUCGUAAAACUCUGUUGUAAGAGAAGAACAAAUUGUAGAGUAACUGCUACAGUCUUGACGGUAUCUUACCAGAAAGCCACGGCUAACUACGUGCUAGCAGCCGCGGUAAUACGUAGGUGGCAAGCGUUGUCCGGAUUUAUUGGGCGUAAAGGGGGCGCAGGCUGCUUCUUAAGUCUGAUGUGAAAGCCCACGGCUUAACCGUGGAAGUGCAUUGGAAACUGGGAAGCUUGAGUACAGAAGAGGAAAGUGGAACUCCAUGUGUAGCGGUGGAAUGCGUCGAUAUAUGGAAGAACACCAGUGGCGAAAGCGACUUUCUGGUCUGUCACUGACGCUGAGGCCCGAAAGCGUGGGUAGCAAACAGG
rnacentral:rRNA from 1 species